GAUGAACGCUGGCGGCGUGCCUAAUACAUGCAAGUCGAGCGAACGGACGAGAAGCUUGCUUUUCUGAUGUUAGCGGCGGACGGGUGAGUAACACGUGGAUAACCUACCUAUAAGACUGGGAUAACUUCGGGAAACCGGAGCUAAUACCGGAUAAUAUUUUGAACCGCAUGGUUCAAAAGUGAAAGACGGUCUUGCUGUCACUUAUAGAUGGAUCCGCGCUGCAUUAGCUAGUUGGUAAGGUAACGGCUUACCAAGGCAACGAUGCAUAGCCGACCUGAGAGGUGGACCGCCAAACUGGGAACUGAAACAGGGUCAGGCUCCCUAGGGGAGGCAGCAUUGGGGAACUUUCCGAAAUGGGCGAAAGCCGGACGGAGAAACGCCGCGUGAGGGAUGAAGGCUUCGGGUUCUUAAACCCCUGUAAUAGGGAAAAAAAAUAUGUUUAAUUAACUGGGACCAUCUGGCGGGUACCAAAUAAGAGAGCCACGGCUACCUCCGUC
rnacentral:rRNA from 1 species